rnacentral:lncRNA from 1 species
CAGACUGUGAGCUCCCCGCGGGCAGGGUGCCCAGCAGAAUCCCAGCACAUACAGGCCCUUCCUUGGUGGGAUGGAUGCUCUGAUAAGAGGGAAUGAGGGGGAACCAGGGCUGUCUGUUCCUGAGAGCAAGGAGCCUUUGAUUCUGGAGGAGCGGAUGGUAGAGAGAAGUGGAACAGACCACCCAGCCCCUUAACUGUCCGGAGGAAACUGCAUCCUGAGGUCCCCAGGCCAGUGCUCUUUCCACAAUACACACCAUCUGGAAAAGGGUGUUCAUCUCCGGGUCCCUGCCCCGCACCCUCACUGCAUCCUCCUGGACUGAGAACAACUCUGGAGGUAGAAGUUGGCAGUUUAGCUCGCCUUGGAAGGACCCAGAAAACUGGUGAGUAAACAAAAGUGAUUUUCCUUAAUCAGGGCUGGUCACACGAGAAAGCUGUAACUGUCCGGGUUCCACCUGCUACUUUCUGAUCCUCCUCACCCCUGCCCCACCCUCUAGGGACCUUGACCUGGCCCUCCCCAGCUCUCCGCUCCCCACCUGUUGCUGUGAUUUCUUUGGUGGUGGGCAGGAGACGGGGCCUCCCAGAA